GUUAACAUGAAAUAAUGUACAUUAGAAUUUCAUUUGCAUACAUUUUUCUUGUCAAAUCGUCUUUAUCUUCAAUAAUGAUUUUUAUAAUUUAUAUAAAUUAUUUCCAUAAUAUUUACGUUUCAUUUUUUAAUACGUUUUAAUUAACCAAUAACAGUUGUCCAUUUGGUGUAGUAAUACUAUACCACGAAAGAACUACUUUAGGUUCGACAAUCAUCAACAAGGUCAUGACAGAAGGCGGGUGGUUUGUCAAAAUAAGAUCAUUACGAUCAUGGAUCCAGCCCUCAGCCUGUAAUCAAUACCGGAAUCUAACGUUUCAACUAAGCAGUGGUCUUUUAAGACUUUAAUAAAAGCAGCUGCUACUGGUGGUAUCGGAUCAAAUGGUUGAAGUUUAGUACUAUUGGUAUCUCUCACUAUAGUCUUCUUAACCUCGUGAA